GGUGAGCCAGCUUGCUUGGUGGAUCAGUGGCGAACGGGUGAGUAACACGUGAGCAACCUGCCCUGGACUCUGGGAUAAGCGCUGGAAACGGCGUCUAAUACUGGAUAUGAGCUCUCAUCGCAUGGUGGGGGUUGGAAAGAUUUUUUCGGUUUGGGAUGGGCUCGCGGCCUAUCAGCUUGUUGGUGAGGUAAUGGCUCACCAAGGCGUCGACGGGUAGCCGGCCUGAGAGGGUGACCGGCCACACUGGGACUGAGACACGGCCCAGACUCCUACGGGAGGCAGCAGUGGGGAAUAUUGCACAAUGGGCGCAAGCCUGAUGCAGCAACGCCGCGUGAGGGAUGACGGCCUUCGGGUUGUAAACCUCUUUUGGUAGGGAAGAAGCCUUCGGGUGACGGUACCUGCAGAAAAAGCGCCGGCUAACUACGUGCCAGCAGCCGCGGUAAUACGUAGGGCGCAAGCGUUAUCCGGAAUUAUUGGGCGUAAAGAGCUCGUAGGCGGUCUGUCGCGUCUGCUGUGAAAUUCCGAGGCUCAACCUCGGGCUUGCAGUGGGUACGGGCAGACUAGAGUGCGGUAGGGGAGAUUGGAAUUCCUGGUGUAGCGGUGGAAUGCGCAGAUAUCAGGAGGAACACCGAUGGCGAAGGCAGAUCUCUGGGCCGUUACUGACGCUGAGGAGCGAAAGGGUGGGGAGCAAACAGGCUUAGAUACCCUGGUAGUCCACCCCGUAAACGUUGGGAACUAGUUGUGGGGUCCUUUCCACGGAUUCCGUGACGUAGCUAACGCAUUAAGUUCCCCGCCUGGGGGAGUACGGCCGCAAGGCUAAAACUCAAAGGAAUUGACGGGGACCCGCACAAGCGGCGGAGCAUGCGGAUUAAUUCGAUGCAACGCGAAGAACCUUACCAAGGCUUGACAUACACCAGAACGGGCCAGAAAUGGUCAACUCUUUGGACACUGGUGAACAGGUGGUUGCAUGGUUGUCGUCAGCUCGUGUCGUGAGAAGUUUGGGUUAAGUCCCGCAACGAGCGCAACCCUCGUUCUAUGUUGCCAGCACGUUAAUGGUGGGAACUCAUGGGAUACUGCCGGGGUCAACUCGGAGGAAAAGGUGGGGGAUGACGUCAAAUCAUCAU
rnacentral:rRNA from 1 species